GACGAACGCUGGCGGCGUGCUUAACACAUGCAAGUCGAACGGAAAGGCCCUGCUUUUGUGGGGUGCUCGAGUGGCGAACGGGUGAGUAACACGUGAGUAACCUGCCCUUGACUUUGGGAUAACUUCAGGAAACUGGGGCUAAUACCGGAUAGGAGCUCCUGCUGCAUGGUGGGGGUUGGAAAGUUUCGGCGGUUGGGGAUGGACUCGCGGCUUAUCAGCUUGUUGGUGGGGUAGUGGCUUACAAAGGCUUUGACGGGUAGCCGGCCUGAGAGGGUGACCGGCCACAUUGGGACUGAGAUACGGCCCAGACUCCUACGGGAGGCAGCAGUGGGGAAUAUUGCACAAUGGGCGGAAGCCUGAUGCAGCAACGCCGCGUGCGUGAUGACGGCCUUCGGGUUGUAAACCGCUUUCGCCUGUGACGAAGCGUGAGUGACGGUAAUGGGUAAAGAAGCACCGGCUAACUACGUG
rnacentral:rRNA from 1 species